ACAUUUAAGAGUGAGUUGAAAAAUGAAUCAAAAAAUAUAGUUUAAUCUGUCUAAGAAGCCUCAAACCUUUUUUUGUGUGCUUGGGGGGAUAAAUGUUGAAUUGUUUAAAUUUUAUUCGGAUCAACUUUUAUUUCUCUUUCACUGAUUAUAAAUCUCAGUAAUUUUUUUGAUCUGGCUCCGAAUGUAUAUUUAGCUGGAUUCAGUUUGAGUUAAAAUUUUUUU
rnacentral:lncRNA from 1 species